rnacentral:lncRNA from 1 species
GUCCCGUCCCCCGCUGGUCUAGUCGCCCGCCGCCAACCCCGGGGGCGGGCGCUGCGCCAGGGCUUCGGGACCCAGUGCCAGACCCAGAGCGCCGCCGGGCACCCGAGGGUGACAGCAGGAGAGAAGAGGUGAACACUGGAAAAACAUGACUGAUUCUGUGCAACUUGGAAAAGGAAAAGUCAUCAGCAAGUCCCAUCCUUACCACACACAAAUACAUUACAGAGAGGGCCAAGCUGGAGGUGGUGUUGUUGACAGAAACAUUGUAAGCAGAGAAGGUGAAUCAAUCCAUGGAGUAUCCCUAUCACACUGGAUGAAGAUGGAUGAGCUGGGAAUCUGA